CCACAGAAGGUAAUAGUCCUGUAUGUUAAACGAGAAGACUUUAGAUAUGAUCCAGAGUACCACGGGACACGUGAAACCCUGUGGGAAGCAGGAGGGACCACCCUCCAAGGCUAAAUACUACCUAGUGACCGAUAGCGUAUAGUACCGUGAGGGAAAGGUGAAAAGAACCCCGGGAGGGGAGUGAAAUAGAACCUGAAACCCUGCACUUACAAGCUGUGGAAGCACAUUUCUUGUGUGACCGCGUACUUUUUGUAGAACGGGCCAACGAGUUACGUUAAGUAGCAAGGUUAAGCACUUAAGGUGCGGAGCCGUAGCGAAAGCGAGUUUUAACUGAGCGUUCAGUUACUUGACGUAGACCCGAAACCGGGCGACCUACCCAUGAGCAGGAUGAAGCGAAAGUAAAAUUUCGUGGAGGUCCGAACCCACGAGCGUUGAAAAGCUCGGGGAUGACUUGUGGGUAGCGGUGAAAUUCCAAUCGAGCCCGGAGAUAGCUGGUUCUCCCCGAAAUAGCUUUAGGGCUAGCCUCAAGGUGAGAGAUACGGAGGUAGAGCACUGAAUGUCCUAGGGGGUAUUGCACCUACCGAAGACUAUCAAAUUCCGAAUGCCGUCAUCUUAUACUUGGGAGUCAGACUGUGGGUGAUAAGAUUCAUAGUCGAAAGGGCAACAGCCCAGAUCGUCAGCUAAGGUCCCUAAAUGUAAGUUAAGUGGUAAAGGAUGUGGGAUUGCACAGACAACCAGGAUGUUGGCUUAGAAGCAGCCACUCAUUCAAAGAGUGCGUAAUAGCUCACUGGUCGAGUGAUCCUGCGCCGAAGAUUUCCGGGGCUAAAACUUACUACCGAAGCUACGGCAUCAGUAAUGAUGGGUAGGGGAGCUUCCCAUACGGGUUGAAGCAUGACCGUAAGGACAUGUGGACAGUAUGGGAGUGAGAAUGUUGGCAUGAGUAGCGAGAUGUGGGUGGGAAUCCCACAGGCCGUAAACCCAAGGUUUCCAGGGGAAGGUUCGUCCACCCUGGGUUAGUCGGGACCUAAGCUGAGGCCGAAAGGCGUAGGUGAUGGACAACAGGUUGAUAUUCCUGUACUACCGAUAACCGUUUGAGAGAAGGGAUGACACAGUAGGAUAAGCUAAGCACACUGUUGGUUAUGUGUGCCCAAGCAUUGAGGCAGUCAAAGUAGGCAAAUCCGCUUUGAUAAUGCUGGGAUGUGAUGGGGAGCGAAAUUUAGUAGCGAAGUAGCUGAUUUCACACUGUCAAGAAAAGUCUCUAUCGAGGUUAAAGGUACCCGUACCGCAAACCGACACAGGUGGGUGAGGAGAGUAUCCUAAGGCCAGCGAGAGAACUGUUGUUAAGGAACUCGGCAAAAUGACCCCGUAACUUAGGGAUAAGGGGUGCCACCAUCAGGUGGCCGCAGAGAAUAGGCCCAAGCGACUGUUUACCAAAAACAUAGGUUUCUGCUAAGUCGCAAGACGAUGUAUAGGAGCUGACGCCUGCCCGGUGCUGGAAGGUUAAGGGGAUCUGUUAGAGCAAUCGAAGCAGUGAACUUAAGCCC
rnacentral:rRNA from 1 species